CAGCCGCCGCGGUAAUACGAGGGGGGCAAGCGUUGUUCGGAAUUAUUGGGCGUAAAGGGCGCGUAGGCGGUUUGGCAAGUUUGGUGUGAAAUCUUCGGGCUCAACUCGAAGUCUGCACCGAAAACUGCCGGGCUUGAGUAUGGGAGAGGUGAGUGGAAUUUCCGGUGUAGCGGUGAAAUGCGUAGAUAUCGGAAGGAACACCUGUGGCGAAAGCGGCUCACUGGACCAUUACUGACGCUGAGGCGCGAAAGCUAGGGGAGCAAACAGGAUUAGAUACCCCAGUAGUCCCUGUCUCGUAUAA
rnacentral:rRNA from 1 species